UACGUAGGGCGCAAGCGUUGUCCGGAAUUAUUGGGCGUAAAGAGCUCGUAGGCGGCUUGUCACGUCGGGUGUGAAAGCCCGGGGCUUAACCCCGGGUCUGCAUUCGAUACGGGCUAGCUAGAGUGUGGUAGGGGAGAUCGGAAUUCCUGGUGUAGCGGUGAAAUGCGCAGAUAUCAGGAGGAACACCGGUGGCGAAGGCGGAUCUCUGGGCCAUUACUGACGCUGAGGAGCGAAAGCGUGGGGAGCGAACAGGG
rnacentral:rRNA from 1 species